UGAGCUCAGCAGUAAAAGCGGAGGCAAAGCAAACAGUUGUGCCCGGGGCCUGCCCUCUCGGAGCUUGGCACCAGCCGGGGAGGAGAGCAUCACCCCCGGGGUGUGGGUUUAAGCGCAGGGGCCCUGGCGGAAGAGGCAUCGUAAAAGGGAUUUAAGAAAUCCCCAUCGGCCGGGGCUACAGAGCGCAUCACCACCCCACAGAGAGCGCCCCUAAAGCGCCCUGUGCGGGGAGUGGCUGCAGCCCCACCAGAAAGGAGGGGAGAAUAAUCCAGACGUAGGUGUCAUCGUAUGCCAAGACCUUGCUCGUGGAUGGAGCCUGGACAGGAUUGCAAAGCAGGGUGGACGACAGGUCUGGAGCAGACCUGGAGACCGGCAGGGCUGCCCUCCCCACAAUCACAGGGGAGUCUGUGCGUGGUCCCAAGAGCACCACUAGAAUCAUGCAGGACCUCCCAGCUCUGCCGCAGCGAGCAAUUCAUCUGAGGCCGACCCACUGUUCGGGAAGAGACCGCCUCUGCGCUUGAGACCUCCAAGCCAACUUACUUCGCGUUGAAAUUUCCUUCUUCUUUUGCUUCUCGUUAUAAAGGCUGACGCAUAAUUUAACCAACGUUUUCCUCCAGCGGCGAUCAUUCUAUCUUGCUGGGUCAUCCCCAAGUUGCGAAGGUACGACUGACCGCCAUAAUGUGCUUUAACGAACUUCCAUCCCCCCCGCCCCUGAGAACUUUCUAUCAAAGAAGUGGUUGAGUUAUUCUGAAGUUGAAAACUACUGAGAGAAGAACACAUGCAAGACACAGCCGGGCGGACCCAGUGUGCGUGGAGGAUGAGGAGUAAGUUACUGUGGUUUACGAUCGUGCAGGAUAAGAAGUGGCAGGAGAUGGGCUACAAAAGGAAUAUUAUGUUCCAAUUAUGACAGCUCUUAGGCAGCAAGGAUUUGGAUUUCAUCCAGCAAGCAGCAGGAAGGAAUCAAUGGACAUUUUUGUCAAGAGAUAGUAUCCACUUUGUUGUUUAGAAGAAAAAAGACACACACACACACACACACACACACACACACACAAGGUCCGGUGAUGUGACA